rnacentral:tRNA from 1 species
GGAGUCUUAGUCAAGCGGUCGACGACACCGGCCCCCUAAGGUCGACGGAGGGUGAUGCCUCCCGCCGUGGGUUCGAAUCCCACAGACUUCACCA